rnacentral:piRNA from 1 species
CCUUGCCUGAUCCAGCUCGUGGC